AUAUUUGUUCUUUGCAGGUUUGAUGAUAAGGAGGUCCAGAAGGACAUGAAACUUGUUCCAUAUAAGAUUGUGAACAAGGAUGGAAAGCCUUAUAUCCAAGUAAAGAUUAAGGAUGGAGAGACCAAGGUCUUCAGCCCUGAGGAGAUCAGUGCUAUGGUUCUAACUAAGAUGAAGGAAACAGCUGAAGCUUUCCUUGGGAAGAAAAUGCAGUGGUUACUGUUCCUGCAUAUUUCAAUGAUGCCCAGAGGCAGGCCACCAUAGAUGCUGGCAUUAUUGCUGGGCUCAAUGUGGCUAGGAUUAUCAAUGAACCAACUGCAGCCGCAAUUACCUAUGGAUUGGACAAGAAAGGUGGUGAGAAAAACAUUAUUGUCUUCGACCUUGGUGGUGGGACAUUUGAUGUCAGUAUCCUGACAAUUGACAAUGGUGUAUUUGAGGUUCUUUCAACAAAUGGAGACACUCAUUUGGGAGGUGAGGAUUUUGACCAGAGGAUUAUGAAAUACUUUAUUAAACUGAUUAAGAAAAAGCAUGGAAAGGAUAUCAGCAAGGAUAACAGGGUUCUUGG